rnacentral:lncRNA from 1 species
AGCAAUGGCCUUUGUAAGAGUUUUCCGGCAGCUUCCGAACCGAGGCUCGAAAUCUAUCCCUACUGUCCAUAAGAAGGAUUCCACCAAUCUAUUCCUGGCAAACCUCAGUAUCUCCCCAAGACCAGUGUUCUUCCACCACCUUUGCAGGUAAAUUGAAGGGCAUGAAAACCAAUUACAUAAUUUUAUGUUUCAUUUAUGUCGAUAUAUAGGUAUACCUUGACAGAUCUUUGAGUUCUUCUUGAUGCAGUGCUUGUAAAAUGUUGAAGUCCAACUUUGCUAGCUGUAAUACAAUGGGGUUCAAAUCCGCUUGUCUUUCAUAUACAUCGAUGUACCACCUUGCUUCAAGCCUCCGCAUUCUCCAGUGUAAUGGAAGCUCCAUGGCAUGCUUGACUUGAAUGGUAAGAAUAGGAUCCACAUGAUCACCUUCCACAUAUCUGAGUUUUUAGAUGUAAACUCCCAAGCUGCUUCCAUUAUGCUUUCUCCUUCAAAACAAUAGUGUGAAGCUUCAUACAAGCUCAUCAUUGCCUUGACAUCAUUACACAAAGAUAGCAUGACCUCGCCUGCCUUAUCCCGAAAACCGUCGAAAACGAGCAAAACCAGUUAUUACAAACACCCCCCAAACAAGAAUUAUAAAACAUUUAGUACCUGAGGAAGAAUGAUAUCCAUGUUGUCUCAGGAGCCUAAAUUCCAAAGCAGUCGCAUAUAAAUUACCCUUUUUCAUUUGAUCGUUGCUGUUCUUAUACACAUUCAGUAAAAUGUUAUUAAUCUCAUCGUCAAAAUGAUAUGAUAAGUGUGAGCAAAACUCGAUUCAACUUGAAAAAAUAAAAAAAAAUUUGAAUUUCGAGUUAAACGAAUCGAGUUAUUUGAAUCAACUCGAAUUUUUUUUUUGAAUUUCGAGUUCAAAUCGAGUUGAGUUUUCGAAUUCGAAUAACUCGAAUAAUUCGAAUAUCAAACUAUAAUAUUUUACAUUUUUACCCUAAACUCCCAAACCUUUUUAUUUUUCCCUCAAAACUUUUACUUCUUCCCACUUCCCCUCAAAACUUUUACUCCUCUCCCCUCCCAACCUCCCAAUCUACCCAAAAUUCAUUUCCCACCAAAAUUUUACUCUCUCAUUUACUUUUUCUCAAAAUUUUACUCCCAAAAACCCUCAAAACUUUUUAUUUUCCCCCAAAAUUUUUACUCCCUCCCACUUUUCUCCUAAAACUUUUAUUCUCUUCCCAUCCCACCUCCCAUCUACCCCAAGCCCUGCCCCCUCCAAUUUUUUUUAAUAUUUUCCCUCCAAAAUUUUACUCCCCUAUUUACUUUCCCUCAAACUUUUAUUCCUCAAAACUUUUUAUUUUCCUCCAAAACUUUUACUUCUCACCCUUUACUCUCAAAGAAAAAAUCAAAAUUAUCCAAAAAAAAAUCACUAAGCAUAAAUAGUAAUAAUUUUAUUUAUAUCUACUAUUUAUAUUAUUAAAUGAAAUUUCACAUUUUAUAUUAUUUAUAUUAUUGAAUUGUUUAGUCAUAUUGAAUAUUUAUAUUAAAAUUGAAUUAUUAAUUAUGCUAUAAAAUAUUCAUGUUAAAAUUUUAUAUUGGUAUCAAUUUCACAUUUUAUUUUUAAAAUAACUUUUAUUAAAAAAAUCAUAUUUUUACAUUUAAUAUAUUUUUUAAUUCCAAAAUACAUAGUGACAAGAAUCUGAAGAUAAUUGAAACAACUAAGCAAACAAAGAAGCUAACCAGUAUAUAAAAAAUUAAUAAAUAAAUUAUGAGGUGAUGAAAGUUAAUAAAAAAUUUGAUUAAGGUGGUCAAUUUUUAUUACGAUAGGUGACAAUAGUUACAAUGACCCAAAAUUAUUUUUUAAAAUUUAACUCGAACAAAUAUAUUUGAUUCGAUUCGAAUUCCAUUUCACUCGACUCGAUUCGAGAAAACUUCAAAUAAAGUUAGGAUGAUAAAACGAGAUUCGAAAACUCGAUUAACUCGAAAAUUUUCGAUUCAAUUCGAUUGGAUUCGAUCGAAUGCUCACCCCUAGAUAUGCUACUCCAAGCCUCUGCAAGUUGUCAAUCAUCUCAAGCUGUUCCAAUGGUUGGUCACCUAUCAUCAUCUUCUUCACUGUUCCUUUCAGCUCUUCAACUUGUCUUGUAUACUCAUCUCCCUGAAAUUCAAUAGUUUAGUAUCAAUGACACAAAAUUAUGAUGAACUGAUAAUGAUAAUCAUACCUUAUAAUUGCUGUUCAACAACUGCAGAUCAUCAUCAUUCCAAAGGCAAGGUUGAUAAUUCCCUGACCUCCUAUUGGUCCAUGAAUGAGAUAUUUUGGUGCUGGCCACAAAUGU